CUCCGCGCAGGUAACAUGAAGGGAGCCAAGAGGAACAUGGUGCACUGGGUGCACAACAACGUCUCUGGUGCCUGCACUUCAGAAAUCCCCAUCAAUACAACUGUACUAACUUCACUUCACCGAAGAGUCUAAUCUGAAGCUUACCUUUGAAUGCCAUCGUAAACAUUACUCUCAACCCAAGGGACCGAUUAAGAAAACAUCAUAAUGUCUUAUGAUCGGAUUCUGUCCAUUGAAAAUCUGAGCGAUGUUCCAAAUCCAUGGAAGGGAUUCACUGUGAACCGCUGCUUAGUGCUGGCCCUGGUCGUCCUGCUUGUGACCUCAGGGGUGAAUGAACUGCACGAUGCCGUGGGCUCUUUUGUUGAGGAGACGGGUAUUAGAUCUUUCAUUAGGAGUCUGCAGGAUGGUUCAAUAACUCAGAUCUCCAUAUGGGAUAGUUUUAUGUGUUGGUGGGGAGCUGAAGAAGUCGGAGCGAUAAGGAGAAGAAAGAAGCCGAUUGGCCCCAAAGCCGUCCUGAAACCCAAAGCUAAAGAAUAAAAAAUGCACAGCUGCUGAAAGAAGAGUGAGAGGUCAAGAAACAGAGGUCAUUAGUCGUCACAACAGCAGGUCGACAAAAAAAAACAGUCGUCGGUAUAAUUGGCAUCUUAUUUUAACAUAAGGCUAGACAAUUUAAAAUUCAAAAGACAAAUGCAGAAAUAUCGAUCAACUUUAAUACAUAUUUUAAUCACUGAAUCAAACCACCAAUGUGCUCUUAAAGAAGAUAAGAGGUUUUGAAUAAGCAAUACGUUUUUUUACUACUCAGACAACUUCUUAUAAUAGAAGACGAUAAUACUGAUACUUGAAUUAUAUAGUAUCAAAUAUCUGUUAACACGUAUAUUUUUCAAUAAACCUGACUACCUGUGAGUGUGA